rnacentral:pre_miRNA from 1 species
GAGACACUCUUCUGGGGCAAGACUUGCUUCAGUGGGGCUUUGGUGCUCACACUGAGUGUGCCCCCUGAGUGUGUCCCU